rnacentral:lncRNA from 1 species
CUUUUAUGCAAAUUCCCAGGGACUUUAACCUGAGAAAAUUUAGCAGCUGCUGGCUUGGUCUUAAUACACCUUGCCUCUCUGUAUGAUCGGGAACUAUCAGGAACUUGAUGAGCUGACAAAUGUGCUCCAUGCUUGCAACACAGCAGGGAAGAAAUUGCAGCACCUGGAAAUCCCCGUGGAAUGCAAGAGGAAGAAAAUUAGAGAAAGGAAAAUAAUUGAAGCUGGGAUUGAAAGAGCUGCUUCAAUCAGAACUGGGGAAGACAACAGUGAACCUGGAUGAAGCUCCAAGCAAAUUACGGAAGAAUUCAUUGGAUGCAUUAGCAACACCCUGGGAAGACCAGAUGUGACCAGAAUUGUUUCAAGGAAUUGACGUAUUUUCCCCCUCCAUCAGCACUGACGUAUUUUUUUUUUUCAAAAUGAUUGGCAGCUUCUCUCUUCUCUUGGAUCAACUGUGAGGCUUCGGGUUCCCGAGACAAUUUUUUUUUUUAAUAUUGGUGCAUCCAGCGAGUGAAACAUUUCCAUAGUUAGAUACUGGACUGCCUUUCCACCCCCCGCUCCCCUCUUCUGCUUGCAAAAAUACUUUUUUUCUCUGCUGUAAAAAGAUAAGUGGGCUUUUUUCAACAGGUGAAUGAACCAGAUAAAACACCACCGACUGUCAAUUUUAACAUUUGGGAAAAAAAAAAAAGAAAAUAUGGUGAAUUAGAAAAAUAGGAGCCUACCAAUCUAAGCAGACCCCACAAAAGAGCUUUCUGUGUAAUAAUAAUAACAAUAACAACAACAACAACAACAAUAACAACAACAACAACAAUAAUAAUAAUGGUACUCAGCACACUGGGUGCUGUGCCUAAAGACCUAGGCAAGCACUUAAAAACAAUUGGCGCUGACAAGAUCACCAUUGGUCAGCUGCAGAAGGCCACCUUACUGGGAUCUGCUCGCAUAAUCCGCUGAUACAUCACGCAGUCCUAAACACUUGGGAAGUGUUCGACUAGUGAUUUGUGAUACGAAACGCAGCAUAGUUAUCUCAUUUGCUGUGUAC